rfam:Triticum aestivum genome assembly, contig: Triticum_aestivum_CS42_TGACv1_scaffold_470886_6AL
UAUGUACUCCCUCCGUUCGGAAAUACUUGUAAUCAAAAUAAAUAAAAAGUGAUGUAUCUAGAUGUAUUUUAAUUCUAGAUACUUUUUUUUGUCCAUUUUGAUGACAAGUAUUUUCGGAUGGAAGAAGUAUAUC